rnacentral:snRNA from 2 species
AUACCUUUCUCGGCCUUUUGGCUAAGAUCAAGUGUAGUAUCUGUUCUUAUCAGUUUAAUAUCUGAUACGUGGGCCAUGUGCCCACUUUGAUAUUAAAUUUAUUUUUUGUGGGGGAGGACUUGCUACAGUGGCUUGCCACUAGAGGUCUCGAGCGUCGCUAGGGUGUUGCACUACUACCCUAGCUUGGCGCACCCCAA